CCUACGGGCGGCUGCAGUGGGGAAUAUUGCACAAUGGGCGCAAGCCUGAUGCAGCCAUGCCGCGUGUGUGAAGAAGGCCUUCGGGUUGUAAAGCACUUUCAGCGGGGAGGAAGGCGUUAAGGUUAAUAACCUUGGCGAUUGACGUUACCCGCAGAAGAAGCACCGGCUAACUCCGUGCCAGCAGCCGCGGUAAUACGGAGGGUGCAAGCGUUGAUCGGAAUUACUGGGCGUAAAGCGCACGCAGGCGGUCUGUCAAGUCGGAUGUGAAAUCCCCGGGCUCAACCUGGGAACUGCAUUCGAAACUGGCAGGCUAGAGUCUUGUAGAGGGGGGUAGAAUUCCAGGUGUAGCGGUGAAAUGCGUAGAGAUCUGGAGGAAUACCGGUGGCGAAGGCGGCCCCCUGGACAAAGACUGAUGCUCAGGUGCGAAAGCGUGGGGAGCAAACAGGAUUAGAUACCCGGGUAGUC
rnacentral:rRNA from 1 species